rnacentral:rRNA from 1 species
UACGUAGGGUGCGAGCGUUAAUCGGAAUUACUGGGCGUAAAGCGUGCGCAGGCGGUGAUGUAAGACAGUUGUGAAAUCCCCGGGCUCAACCUGGGAAUUGCGUUGGAGACUGCAAGGCUAGAAUCUGGCAGAGGGGGGUAGAAUUCCACGUGUAGCAGUGAAAUGCGUAGAUAUGUGGAGGAACACCGAUGGCGAAGGCAGCCCCCCUGGGUCAAGAUUGACGCUCAUGCACGAAAGCGUGGGGAGCAAACAGG